GCUUAGCGAUAUUGCAUCCUAACUGCACCUAUUAUUGCUAUUAUAUUAUACUACCCUUUAUACUACCACAACCUCUGAUGCUUUCAUAUGUCACUUGGGCUACCCCUUUUAGGGCUAUAACUACAAUAUACAUGUGUCUUUAGAUACUGGUUACUUUUCAUCGCACAUGUUAGAUCUCUUUCUAUUUCAGUCUCUUCCAUCCAGUGAAAG
rnacentral:lncRNA from 1 species